AUUGAACGCUGGCGGCAGGCCUAACACAUGCAAGUCGAGCGGAAGAAGGGUGCUUGCUCCUGGAUUCAGCGUCGGACGGGUGUGUAAUGCCUAGGAAUAUCCCUGGUAGUGGGGGAUAACGUCCGGAAACGGGCGCUAAUACCGCAUACGUCCUGCGGGUGAAAGUGGGUGAUCUUCGGACCUCACGCUAUCAUAUGAGCCUAGGUCGGAUUAGCUAGUUGGUGGGGUAAAGGCCUACCAAGGCGACGAUCCGUAACUGGUCUGAGAGGAUGAUCAGUCACAUUGGAAGUGAGACACGGUCAAUACUCCUACGAGAGGCAGCAGUGGGGAAUAUUGGACAAUGGGAGAGAGCCUGAUCCAGCCGUGCCGCGUGUGUGAAGAAGGCCUUCGGAUUGUAAAGCACGUUAAGUUGGGAGGAAGGGCAGUAAGUUAAUACCUUGCUGUUUUGACGUUAACAACAGAAUAAGCACCGGCUAACUUCGUG
rnacentral:rRNA from 1 species